AUACAACGAAGAGUUUGAUCCUGGCUCAGGAUGAACGCUAGCGACAGGCCUAACACAUGCAAGUCGAGGGGCAGCGGGGAGCGAAGCUUGCUUUGCUCCGCCGGCGACCGGCGCACGGGUGAGUAACGCGUAUGCAACCUGCCCGUUUCAGCGGGAUAACCCGGAGAAAUCCGGCCUAAUACCGCAUGUGGCCGAGGGGGAGGCAUCUUCUUUCGGCCAAAGGAGGCAACUCCGGAGACGGAUGGGCAUGCGUGACAUUAGCUUGUUGGCGGGGUAACGGCCCACCAAGGCGACGAUGUCUAGGGGUUCUGAGAGGAAGGUCCCCCACACUGGUACUGAGACACGGACCAGACUCCUACGGGAGGCAGCAGUGAGGAAUAUUGGUCAAUGGGCGAGAGCCUGAACCAGCCAAGUCGCGUGAAGGAUGACGGCCCUACGGGUUGUAAACUUCUUUUGUCAGGGAGCAAUUGAGUCCACGUGUGGGCUUAGCGAGAGUACCUGAAGAAAAAGCAUCGGCUAACUCCGUGCCAGCAGCCGCGGUAAUACGGAGGAUGCGAGCGUUAUCCGGAUUUAUUGGGUUUAAAGGGUGCGUAGGCGGAAUAUCAAGUCAGCGGUAAAAAUUCGGGGCUCAACCCCGUCGUGCCGUUGAAACUGAUGUUCUUGAGUGGGCGAGAAGUAUGCGGAAUGCGUGGUGUAGCGGUGAAAUGCAUAGAUAUCACGCAGAACUCCGAUUGCGAAGGCAGCAUACCGGCGCCCAACUGACGCUGAAGCACGAAAGCGUGGGUAUCGAACAGGAUUAGAUACCCUGGUAGUCCACGCAGUAAACGAUGAAUGCUAAUUGUCCGGAGGGAUUGACCUCUGGGUGAUACAGCGAAAGCGUUAAGCAUUCCACCUGGGGAGUACGCCGGCAACGGUGAAACUCAAAGGAAUUGACGGGGGCCCGCACAAGCGGAGGAACAUGUGGUUUAAUUCGAUGAUACGCGAGGAACCUUACCCGGGCUCAAACGCAGGAGGAAUACAUUUGAAAGGGUGUAGCUCUACGGAGUCUUCUGCGAGGUGCUGCAUGGUUGUCGUCAGCUCGUGCCGUGAGGUGUCGGCUUAAGUGCCAUAACGAGCGCAACCCCUAUCGACAGUUGCCAACAGGUUAAGCUGGGAACUCUGUCGAGACUGCCGGCGCAAGCUGAGAGGAAGGCGGGGAUGACGUCAAAUCAGCACGGCCCUUACGUCCGGGGCGACACACGUGUUACAAUGGCGGCCACAGCGGGAAGCCAGGCGGCGACGCCGAGCGGAACCCGAAAAGCCGUCUCAGUUCGGAUUGGAGUCUGCAACCCGACUCCAUGAAGCUGGAUUCGCUAGUAAUCGCGCAUCAGCCACGGCGCGGUGAAUACGUUCCCGGGCCUUGUACACACCGCCCGUCAAGCCAUGGGAGCCGGGAGUGCCUGAAGUACGUGACCGCAAGGAGCGUCCUAGGGUAAGACCGGUGACUGGGGCUAAGUCGUAACAAGGUAGCCGUACCGGAAGGUGCGGCUGGAACACCUCCUUUCUGGAGC
rnacentral:rRNA from 1 species